GAUGAAGAACGUAGCGAAAUGCGAUAAGUAAUGCGAAUUGCAGAAUUCAGUGAAUCAUCGAAUCUUUGAACGCACAUUGCGCCCGCUAGUAUUCUGGCGGGCAUGCCUGUCUGAGCGUCAUUUCAACCCUCGCCCCCGGCUUUUGCUGGGAGCGGUGUUGGGGAUCGGCCGCCCGUCACUGGGAGGCCGGCCCCGAAAUAGAGUGGCGACCACGCCGUGUGCUCCUCUGCGUAGUAGAAAAUCACCUCGCAGGCGGACAGCGGUGCGGCCUGCCGUAAAACCCCCAACUCUUUCUGGUUGACCUCAGAUCAGGUAGGAAUACCCGCUGAACUUAAGCAUAUCAAUAAGCGGAGGA
rnacentral:misc_RNA from 1 species